rnacentral:rRNA from 1 species
UACAGAGGUGCCGAGCGUUAUGCGGAAUCACUGGGCUUAAAGCGUGUGUAGGCGGACGUCUAAGUACCUUGUGAAAUCCCACGGCUCAACCGUGGAACGGCUUGGUAUACUGGGCGUCUUGAGCCACUUAGGGGUCGUCGGAACAAGCGGUGGAGCGGUGAAAUGCGUAGAUAUCGCUUGGAACGCCAACGGUGAAAACAGGUAGCUGGGGCUGUGCUGACACUGAGACACGAAAGCCAGGGGAGCAAACGGG